UACGUAGGGGGCUAGCGUUGUCCGGAAUCAUUGGGCGUAAAGAGCGUGUAGGCGGCCACACAGGUCCGCUGUGAAAACUCGAGGCUCAACCUCGAGCUGUCGGUGGAAACCGUGUGGCUAGAGUCCGGAAGAGGAGACUGGAAUUCCCGGUGUAGCGGUGGAAUGCGCAGAUAUCGGGAGGAACACCCGUGGCGAAGGCGGGUCUCUGGGACGGUACUGACGCUGAGACGCGAAAGCGUGGGGAGCGAACAGG
rnacentral:rRNA from 1 species